rnacentral:rRNA from 1 species
UACAGAGGGGGCAAGCGUUGUUCGGAAUUACUGAGCGUAAAGGGCGCGUAGGUGGCCUUCUAAGUUGAACGUGAAAUCCCUGGGCUCAACCCAGGAACUGCGUCCAAGACUGGGAGGCUUGAAUCCGGGAGAGGGAUGCGGAAUUCCAGGUGUAGCGGUGAAAUGCGUAGAUAUCUGGAGGAACACCGGUGGCGAAGGCGGCAUCCUGGACCGGUAUUGACACUGAGGCGCGAAAGCCAGGGGAGCAAACGGG